CUACUACCGAUUGAAUGGCUUAAUGAGGCAUCUGGAUUGGUCUUUUGUAGCUGGCAACAGCAACGAGAGACUGAGAAGUUUUCCAAAUUUGGUCAUUUAGAGGAGGNAAAAGUCGUAACAAGGUU
rnacentral:rRNA from 1 species